rnacentral:rRNA from 1 species
UGGGCCAACCCUCUGAACUGAAACAUCUUAGUAGGAGGAGGAAAAGAAAGAAACAUCGAUUUCCUAAGUAGCGGCGAGCGAACGGGAAGAAGCCUAAACCAUACUUGUUACGGCAAUUAUGGGGUUGUAGGACUGCAAUAUUCAAGUGACUGUCAACUGGAAUGUUCUGGAAAGUUCAUCCAUAGAGAGUGAAAGACUCGUACAGGUAAGCACGUUAUGCGAUAGCAGUAUCCUGAGUAGGGCGGGACACGAGGAAUCCUGUCUGAAUCUGCCGGGACCACCCGGUAAGGCUAAAUACUCCCAAGAGACCGAUAGUGAACCAGUACCGUGAGGGAAAGGUGAAAAGAACCCCGAACAGGGGAGUGAAAUAGAACCUGAAACCAUACGCUUACAACCGGUCGGAGCAGCUUCGUGCUGUGACGGCGUGCCUAUUGAAUAAUGAGCCUACGAGUUACUAAUCACUGGCGAGGUUAAGUGCACGGAUGCACGGAGCCGAAGCGAAAGCGAGUCUUAAUAGGGCGUUUAGUCAGUGGUUGUAGACGCGAAACCUUGCGAUCUACCCUUGAGCAGGUUGAAGGUUGGGUAAAACCAACUGGAGGACCGAACGAAUAAGCGUUGAAAAGCUUCUCGAUGACUUGAGGGUAGGGGUGAAAGGCUAAUCAAGCUGGGAAAUAGCUCGUACUCCCCGAAAUGCCUUUAGGGGCAGCGUUGUAAUUGAGAGUCUACUGGAGGUAGAGCUACUGAUUGGAUGCGGGGGCUUCACCGCCUACCAAAUCCUGACAAACUCCGAAUGCCAGUAGUAUGAUUUACAGCAGUGAGCGACCGGGUGCUAAUGUCCGGUCACAAAAGAGGAACAACUCAGACCAGCAACUAAGGUCCCCAAGAGUAUGCUAAGUUGAUCUAACGAUGUUUUGUUGCAGAGACAGCUAGGAUGUUAGCUUGGAAGCAGCUAUUCAUUCAAAGAGUGCGUAACAGCUCACUAGUCGAGCGACAAAGCGUGGAUAAUAAACGGGCAUCAAGUAUACCACCGAAGUUCUGGGCACGAAAGUGCGGUAGGGGAGCAUUCCAUUCUGCGUCGAAGCCGAAUCGUGAGAUUUGGUGGAGCGUAUGGAAAAGCAAAUGUAGGCAUGAGUAACGAUAAUGCGGGAGAGUAACCCGCACACCGCAAGACCAAGGUUUCCUGAUCAACGCUAAUCGGAUCAGGGUUAGUCGGGUCCUAAGGGUAAGCCGAACGGCGAUCUCGAUGGAUAAUCGGUUAAUAUUCCGAUACUAACAUAUACCUCGAUGGAGAGACGAAGGAACGUAAGUGACGCCGCCUGACGGAAUAGGUGGUUAAAGGGUGUAGGUAUAGGGACAGAUUAAGAGUUAGUCCUUGCUGAAACCCGACAGUACGGAGCGGCUACGGCCAAUCUGAUAGUUCACCCAAGUCGACUUCCGAGAAAAUCUUCUAAGUUAUAGUAUAUGUUACCCGUACCGUAAACCGACACAGGUGGUCGAGGAGAGUAUCCUAAGGUGCUCGAGUGAAUCACGGUUAAGGAACUAGGCAAAUUAACCCCGUAACUUCGGGAAAAGGGGUCCCUAUGAAAGUAGGGCGCAGCGAAGAGGUCCAGGCGACUGUUUAUCAAAAACACAGGGCUCUGCAAAUUCGAAAGAAGACGUAUAGGGCCUGACACCUGCCCGGUGCUGGAAGGUUAAGAGGGGAUGUCAUCGCAAGAGAAGCAUUGAAUCGAAGCCCCAGUAAACGGCGGCCGUAACUAUAACGGUCCUAAGGUAGCGAAAUUCCUUGUCGGGUAAGUUCCGACCUGCACGAAUGGUGUAACGAUCUGGACACUGUCUCAACCGUGAGCUCGGUGAAAUUGUAGUCCCGGUGAUGAUGCCGGGUACCCGCAACGGGACGAAAAGACCCCGUGAACCUUUACUAUAGCUUAACGCUGAAUUUGGGUACACAAUGUGUAGGAUAGGC